rnacentral:rRNA from 1 species
AAUAUUAGUCAAUGCUCGAAAGAGUGAACUAGCUAACUGAAAUCAAUUAUAAUAAUUGAUAACAUAAGGGAAAAUAAUGAUAUUACCUUAUUAUUAGUGUCGUCCAAAACUGGUGCCAGAAGACUCGGUAAGGCCAGAGACACAAACGUUAAUCGUCUUAAUCAGGCGUAAAGGGUUUGUAGGCAGCUUUAAAAUUAGAUUAUUAAAUUAAAUAAAUAAAAAUUAUUAAUUAAUAAUUAAAGACAAAAAGCUAGAAUCAAAAAGAGGAUAUAUUAAAGAAUGCUUAGAGUAGGUCUGAUAUCCUUAGAUACUAAGUAGAAUAUUAAAGGCGAAAGCUUUUUUCCAUUAAUGAUUGACGCUCAGAAACGAAGGUGAGGAUAGGAAAUAGGAUUAGAUACCCAAAAUACCCCUCUCUGUCAACGAUGAAUGGUAAUUAUUAGUAAAAAUUUUAUUAAUGAUAAUGUUAACACGAUAACCAUUCCGCCUUGUGAGUACAACUGCAAAGUUGAAAACAAAAAAAUUAGUCGGUUUCGGAGCAAACGAAGUGAAGCAUGUUAUUUAAUUCGA